UACGUAGGGAGCAAGCGUUUGUCCGGAAUCAUUGGGCGUAAAGCGCGCGUAGGUGGCCCCAUAAGUCCGCUGUGAAAGUCAAAGGCUCAACCUUUGAAAGCCGGUGGAUACUGUGGGACUAGAGUACGGAAGAGGCGAGUGGAAUUCCUGGUGUAGCGGUGGAAUGCGCAGAUAUCAGGAGGAACACCAAUAGCGAAGGCAGCUCGCUGGGACGUUACUGACACUGAGGCGCGAAAGCGUGGGGAGCGAACAGG
rnacentral:rRNA from 1 species